UUGGAGAAGGGGUUGGGGGUGGCAGUUGAAGAGAUGGGGUUGAGGGGACAGCAGAGCUUUGAGGGCCCUUCAGGGUGCCCAUGCAGUCACUGGACAGUAGUGGAGGCUCGUGCAUGUCCUGAGCACACACCCGCACUCACCUCCCCCAAGUCCUCUUCCCUUUUCAGUCUACUCCAGGCCCUGACCCUCCCUUAGAGGGACUGUCAUCAGUUUUCCCCAGCAGAGACCCCAGGCCCAGGCUGCCUGGCAAAGCGGUGUCCACAACCAGCCAGUCCUGCCCCUGACCAGUGCAGCUGAGGAACCCUGGGCUAGCCAUUCAGUUUCUUGGCCUUCCCUGACUCCCCAGGAAGAGGGGACCCCAGUUCCUCACUUCCAGGGCUAUCACAUAACUGAGUAUCAGUCAGCCAGCCCUACGACAGUGCCUGGCAUGGGGCCUGGGACUCAGAUGAUGGGAUGUUAGUUCCUUAGCCAUCAUCUCUCUCCUUGGUUCGUAUCAACACAGGGGCAUCAAUACAGGGGCUAAGUGCCUACUAUGUACCUACUAUGUACUAUGUACCCCUGCUUGGGGCAGGGAGAUACAGAGAUGAAAGAUCAUGGGGUGUAGACAGCAGGCCAGCCGCCCAGGGCAGGGUGGUCCGUGCAGGGAAAAAGGAAGACCCUAGGAUCUGCACAAACCCCCAAUGGAACCUUAACCCUGUGCCAGCCCGGGUCUGGAAAGAUCAUCCAGAGAAAGCCAGGAGGAGUGGGGGGAAGGGCAGGCUAAGCAGAGGACACAGGCUGGGUCUAAGGUCUGGGGUUGGAGGGAGCAGGUGGCAGAGGGCCAGGGUAGCUGGAGUGAAAGCUGGAGGGAAAUUCAAGGCCAGAGGAGUGACCCUGAGGCCGCAGGGCCCAGAUCCGCAGAGUCUGGGGCCUGACAAGGAUUCGUGCCUUUAUCCUCCCAAAAGCCAGUUUUGUGCCUUUAUCCCCCAAAAAGCCACUCUGGGGUUUGAAAACUUUGCUCCAGCCGCUGGGUGGGGAAGGGAGGCGGGAGCACCGGCUCCAAGGCGCUGGAGGCUGCGGUCUCUGCGAGGCCCCCAGCGGCUCAGCUCUGCUCUCCCAGCACCGAUGUGGGCGGACCCAUCAGCCCCGCCGCCCCGCCCACAGCCCGGCGGCGAGACCCCGCCUCCCCCGCUGGUUGGUCGGGACGGGGACACCUGAUCCGGGGUAGCCAAUCGCCGCGCUGGGUUCUAGAGCCACCCGCGUCGACCCGGCGGCGGCGCAGCUAGCCGCGGACCGAAGCGCCAGCAGGGGGCGGCACAGGGCGCGUCGGGCCACCGGAGCGCACCGAUUCCGAAUGCCCGGCCGGUCGGCGAUCAGCCAUCCUGGGAUGUCCACUUGGCUGAAUGACCAGUUCCUACGGACUUCCUGUGACGUGUGUUCUCCCAGGCCAUGCGGCGUCCCCGGGCCGCGAUCGUUUCUCGUAGGGUCUGGCACGUAGUCCCCGCCCCACCCAUUCCCUGAGAAGCCUCAGCUCCUGGCCUCUGAGGGUCGCGGGGCCUGCCGGGGGCGGUUGGAAUUACGAGUCCCUUCUCCUCCCGCGUAACGCUCCACCCCCUUUGUGAGGUCCCGACCUGCACGCCGCUUCCUCCAGGAAGCCUUCCCUGCUGCCCGGGCACUGGACUCUCCGGCAUUCCAGGGCCCCCUCGCUACUCUCCCGGCCUGGAAGUAUCGUUCUCUAGGGACGUUUCUCCCAGAGGGCUCUUCCUGGACAGGGGCCCCUCCCUAGCUGCAGCCCCAGGCUCCUUGGGGGCCCAUCAGGGCGAGAGCUGGGGUGGCCACAGAACUUUCUGGGAAGAGCUUUGGAGUCAGACAAGACCGGCUUCCACGGAGCUGCAGUCUCGGUGGUUGUGAAACGGGGGUAUUGAUGAUCAUUCGCCACCGUGAGGAAGCGUGGAGGGAGCUGCCACCCGGAGCCCGGGCACCCGUCACGGCGCUGCCCUGUGCUCGGCCCUGGGGACACAGCAGUGGAGACAGCCCUGCCUGCCAGCAUGGAAGCGGCUUGAGCUAACAUUAGUACUAGCGGUCUGUUAUUAUAGUAGCUUUAUUGGUGUAUUUACAUUAAAGCACAAAAUCUUGGGGCGCCUGGGGGGCUCUGUCGGUUGAGCGUCCGACUUCGGCUCAGGUCACGAUCUCUCAGUUCGUGAGUUCGAACCUUGUGUCGGGCUCUGUGCUGACAGCUCAG